GCUUCCCUAAUCGGAGCAGGAACUUAGCAAGUUUUGCGAAUAAAGGAAAAGCACCAUCCAGGGCGUCUUCCCUCUGCCAGCUUGGGGCCGGCGAACUUGCUGCCCGCUGGCCCGAGGGAGGACCGCAGGCUGAAGUAACGACUGGGAGCCCAAGGACCAAGGGCAGACGGUUGGAUCAUUGUAAACUGAAACCGCCAGCGGCCUGCGUGGGCACCAGGGGAAACAUCUACUGAAUGGCGUGGAAGGGCAGGGUGGCAGGCGCUGAUAGGAGAGACCGCAGGGCACUGUGUAACCAGGCAGGAGGCGGGGCGAAGGUGCUAUCUAGGGUGUGAGCUCAGCUUGAGGAUUGGAGACAAUAAACCAAAUUAAUGUUGAGGAAGAGGAAGAAGAGGAACAGGAGGAGGAGGAGGAAGGACCAGCAGGCUCCGCGCCGGGCAGGGAGAGGCAGUGGUGGUGGCGGCAGCUCGGAGCUCAGCCCCUCUCCAGCCGUUCAGUCCCGAGCUCAGCUGACCGUGCCCAGGCCCGGGCCAUGAGCCUCGGUUCCUGGUUCCCCGACCUCCCCGGCGUGUUCACUACAGUUUCUUCAGUGUUGGUUUGAUGAAAGGAGCUUCAACCACGGUGACUGGACAACUGGGCAGAAGUGAACCGUCUAAAUACAUGAUUAAUUGAUUUUAAUUAAAAGGAAAAUUAGAUGCAGAAUAA